rnacentral:tRNA from 1 species
UUUUAGUUAGUAUAGAGAAGUACAUUUACCUUCCAAGUAAAAAGUCUGAGUCACAGACUCUGGU